rnacentral:rRNA from 1 species
CCUACGGGUGGCAGCAGUGAGGAAUAUUGCUCAAUGGGCGCGAGCCUGAACCAGCCAAGUAGCGUGAAGGAUGACUGCCCUCCGGGUUGUAAACUUCUUUUAUAAAGGAGUAAAGUGAGGCACGUGUGCCUUUUUGUAUGUACUUUAUGAAUAAGGAUCGGCUAACUCCGUGCCAGCAGCCGCGGUAAUACGGAGGCUCCGAGCGUUAUCCGGAUUUAUUGGGUUUAAAGGGAGCGUAGAUGGGUUGUUAAGUCAGUUGUGAAAGUUUGCGGCUCAACCGUAAAAUUGCAUUUGAUACUGGCAGCCUUGAGUACAGUUGAGGUAGGCGGAAUUCGUGGUGUAGCGGUGAAAUGCUGAGAUAUCAAGAAGAACUCCGAUUGCGAAGGCAGCUUACUAAACUGCCACUGACAUUGAUGCGCGAAAGUGUGGGGAGCAAACAGGAUUAGAUACCCCUGUAGUC